AUAUGCACUUAUCGGGGAAGGGUAAGAACCUUUGACUAAGGUUCGACUCGAGCGACAGCGAGAGAACGUUGCCAUCAGGCAACGGCCCGAAGGGUGAGGAGCGAAGCGACGAAUAAUCCUUCCCCCACCACCA
rfam:Escherichia vulneris NBRC 102420 DNA, contig: EV10242024.